UCUAUAUAUCUUACGGUGUAUUUUCAGAAGAAGAUCAAAUCAUCAUCUUUGUGCUGAUGAUCAUCGAUUCAUAUUAAAGGUGGGCAUCACAAAAUCUGAUUCCAGGGUCAUUUAGUUUCU